GCCUGGUUAGCUCAAUCGGUAGAGCGUUUGACUCUUAAGAUCAAAAGGUUGCGGGUUCGACCCCCGCAUCGGGCU
rnacentral:tRNA from 1 species